GGGGAUGUAGCUCAGUUGGGAGAGCACCUGCUUUGCAAGCAGGGGGUCGCCGGUUCGAUUCCGGUCAUCUCCACCA
rnacentral:tRNA from 1 species